GAUGAAGAACGUAGCGAAAUGCGAUAAGUGAUGUGAAUUGCAGAAUUCAGUGAAUCAUCGAAUCUUUGAACGCACAUUGCGCCCGCCAGUAUUCUGGCGGGCAUGCCUGUUCGAGCGUCAUUACAACCCUCAGGCCCCCGGGCCUGGCGUUGGGGAUCGGCGGAGCCCCCCGUGGGCACACGCCGUCCCCCAAAUACAGUGGCGGUCCCGCCGCAGCUUCCAUCGCGUAGUAGCUAACACCUCGCGACUGGAGAGCGGCGCGGCCACGCCGUAAAACACCCAACUCUUCUGAAGUUGACCUCGAAUCAGGUAGGAAUACCCGCUGAACUUAAGCAUAUCAAUAAGCGGAGGA
rnacentral:misc_RNA from 1 species